GUAUGUGCCAUUGCACCCAACUCCUACCUCUCCACUUUUGAUAUGUUACCCUAGUUGACCUCCCAUCUUCCUAUCUCCUGUAUCUGGCAGUCAUUUUCAGUAGAGCCGAAGUACCCAGAACAGUUCUACAACUUUUCCCCACUCCCUUGUAACUGUACCCCUCUGAUGUGAGCAGGACAAAAGCCAUCCCAUGAUUCUGUAUGGUUUCAGACUUUGAGUCUAAACUAGCUUGUGAGCAGUGUGAUAACCAUACAACCUGUGUGCCUGUGUGAUAACUUGUGAGGGAGCCAUAUGGUGUGAUAACCACAUGGUCUAUGUGCCAAACUUAUCUUGUGAACCCCUUUAGAGAAACCUAUAAAAAAUAUGUUUUAUGAAAAUUUUUUACCAUAAAGAAAAACAUUGUUUGUACCAAACUCCCCAUAGCAUAAAAGACAAAACAGUCUUCUGGUGCAAUGCUUGUGGACUUUGCCUUGGGAACUGCUCUUCACAGAGCUGCCACUGGCUUGAGCUCCGCAACUGUCUGUGACUGCGUCAUUCUGCUUGUCUGAGAUGCCCCGUUUGACUCCUGGCCUGUACUAGUCUGUGGAUCACUGUGAGUCCCAGUGCUCAAUCUCCAGAUCACUGUGCAUUCCAGCAAUGCCAGUUCCCUCUCUGCAUCCUGCCCCAUGCUCUUAUGGCGUGGCGACCAGGUAGAGGAAAGAUGAAAGAUCUUGCACCGUGGGUGCUGCCUCCAGCUUCCAGUCUAUGUCAUGGAGAUUUUGUUAGUAGACCCUGAGUUCAUCCAUUCUGAAAGGAAAUCCAGUGAUAACGUUAUUUGUCUACUGUUUCAAUACAGCCAAGCUUCAAAUGACAACUGAAGAGAAAAAAACAGAAUUACCAAUGGCUUCCCUGAGGCUGCUAAAGUAUUAUAUUCCUGAGGUUUAAAUUGUUCUCAUUCUUAAGCUGGGCAUGGUGGUGCACCCCUGUGAUCCCAGCAUUCUGGAGGCUGAGGCAGGAGGAUCACUGUGAAUGCAAAGCCAACCUGUGCUACGUAGUGAAUUCAAGGCCAGCCUGGACUGCAUAGAGAAACCCUGUCUUAAAAAACUUUUUUUCUGUAGCAGAAAUCAUUGAGUAUUUGAUUUUAUGCAUGAAGUGUUUGUAUAGUUAAGUGACUGUUUUCCAUUUAGUCCUGUGGCAGUUAUAUGACCAUACACAUGCUGGUGGGCUACUCUCCUCGCUAGAAAGAGAAUCACUCUGAAAAUAAGUUAUGAUUAACAAUUAGGCGUAUGUUAUUUGGUAAAUCUGGUAGCACUACCCUGGGUGCUUUGCUGCUGGGCAUGCUGAGAAUUAGUCCUGAGUGGGCAAAUAUAAUUUUCUCAACAGUAAAAGGUAAUCUGCCUGGUCCCCUUGCAGCAUCUUGAGAUCAUAAGGUUUAAAAUCCUUUGACUAGUCACCCAAGUAUCCCAAAGUUCAGACUCAUCUUUGUUGUUAGUAUCCUCUUCUUCCUGCUUCCUUAGGCCCCCUAACCCAAUCCAGGGCCUUGCACAUGCUUCACUACUGAACUAUCCAUAGACCCUUAUUUCUGCUUUAUUCUGUUUAAGCACUGAAUCCUAUUGGUCCUUCUCUGAUGGUAAAUAUUGAUUGACAACUCAAUUGGCUUGAGAAAGGCCUAGAUUAGCAAAACACAUGUCUGGGUGAGUUUGGGUGGAUCAUGGGGACAUGACCCUGGGGACUAUGUCUGGUCCCUGGCUCCUUCCUCCGAGGCUCUUGCCCUGCUCUCUGCUUCCUGGAUGCUAUGAGUUGAGAAGCUUUCACCUUCCGUGCCCUCCCACCAUGAUGUUUCUGCCUUGGAGCCAGCUGAGCAUGGACACCUCUAAAACUGUGAGACCAAAUAACUUUUUUCCUUUAAAUUGUGUGUGUCAUAUUUAGCGCCAGCAGCAGCAAAACUGACCAAUAUACCUUUCUUAAAGAAAGGAAAUUAUACUUGAAUCUUCCUGUUCUGUUUGUCUUCACAGCUACCUACUGUAUCUGCUGUUACCUGGUACCUGGAUCAUCACAGUAGCUUCCCAAAUGGGAGGCUCCUGCUGUAAUUUGACUUGAGAGUAACCUUCAAAGGCCCAGGUAUUAAAAGUUUGGCCACCAGGGGCUGGGGAUUUAACUCAGUGGUUUUGCUGCCUGCUGCGCAAGUGCAAGGACCCUAGUUCAAUCCCCGGUACCCCCCGCCCCCCAAAAAGUUUGGCCACCAGCUUGGCCCUAUUGGAAAAUGGUGGAAACUUUAAGACCUACUGGGAGGUCUUUGGGUGUUGGUGGUUGCAGUCAGAGACAUGCCUUCAUAGGAAAUUGUGGGGCUCUGGUCUUGGGCUCCCUCUCUUUUGUUGCUUGGCCACAAGUUAAGCAGUUUUGGCUCCACCAUUCACUCCUGUCAUGAUGCCUUGACACAGGCCCAGAAGCAAUGGGCUGAUGGGUCAUGGACUGAAACCUUCAAAACUAGAAGCCAAAAUAAAACUUUUCUCUCUACAAGCUGAUUAUCUCAGGUAUUUGAUAUGCUGAUGGUGAGCUACCAAGUGUAUCUCCAUUUUCUUCCAUCCUUUAUCCAUCUUGAAAAAUUUCUAAAGUAGAUUUGAAACAUUAGGGUGUUUAUCUCACUUACUUAAAGAACAUUUUGGCAUUUGGGCCUUUCCACCAAUUUUGUUUUGAGACAGGGUCUCAAUAUGUAGUCCAGGCUGGCCUUGAACUCACUAUGUAGCCUAGGCUGGUCUCAAACUUGUGGCAGUCCUCCUGCCUCAGCCUUCCCAGAACUGGGAUUACAGGAGUGCACCACCAUGCCUGCCUCCACAAUCUAAAUUAACCUUGUCACUCAUGUCCACAUCAUCACCUCACCUUAUUCCUCAUUAUGUCUGAACCAAGACCAGCUAGACUUGACUUCUUGCUAACAUGUUAUUUAGUUUCCCAAUUUCACAUUUUCCUUCAUUCUUUUUCUCAAGCCUACAACAUUCUUACUUCUUUCUCCUAAUCAUAUCCUACCUAUUGUUGAGGUUUAGAUGAAGUUCUACUUCUUGUUAGAAGCCUUCCCUGCCUAAUCUAGCUUUUGCUAAUUUUCUCUUUUGUUGGACCUCUAAAAGAAAAAAAACUUUCUAUACUCUGUAAGUACAGUAACUGAGUCUAUAUAGAUAAACUGACAGUAGACAGAUUGACAGAAGAAAAAGCAUAUAAAUUUAUAAUGUGCAUAAGGACAUCAGAGGAAAGAAAAAACAAAUGAGAUCUAGAAGCUUGCAUACCCUCUUCAUAGAAGAGCAAGGAUGGGGUCUUUAGACAGUAUUACAGGAGUAAGUGAUUUGGGGAGAGUGGACGUGGACCCUCAUGGAGUGAUAGCCUGUGAUGGGUCUGUCUGGGCCACUGUGAUUUAAAUGUAAUCUCUCUGGUUGAAGAGAUUCCUUAUGAGGGCAUGAAUGACAGUUGGAUCUUUUCUGUAUUUAGUUAGAUAAGGAAAUGUCAAAGAAACCCCCUCCUUCCAUUUGGAUGAGAAAAAGGGGCAAGAGACAGUACCCCCCCCAAAAGAAAGAAACAAAUAACAAAUAAACCACAAAAAAACGUUGAAAAAGUUAGUAAGAUUAUUCUGGAUUAUCCAGAGUCCCAAUCUAACCAUGUGAAGUGUAUGUGUGUGUGUGUGUGUGGCUUGAGCCUAGGGCAUGCUAAGCUACAGCUCUAGCCAUUUUUACUUUUUAAUUUUGAGUCAAGGUCUUUUUAAACUUCCCAGGCUGUCCUCAAACUUUAAUUCCUCUGCCUUAGCUGCCUGAACAGGAGGGAUUAUAGGCAUGUGCUGCUGCGCUCUAUCCACUAGAAUCUUGAAAAGCAGAAAGCUUUUCCAGCUGUGGUCAGAAUCACAUGUGGCCUUGAAAGUAUGGUCAGAGAGAUGCAAUGUUGCUGAGUUUGAAGCUGGAAGAAGGAGACAUGAGUAAAGGAAUGCAGGUUGCAUCUAGGAGCAGGAAAAGGCAAAGAAAUAGAUUGUCUUCUACAGCAACCAGAAAGUAAUGGCUACUGUGUCCACACCAUGAUUUUUAUCCCUGUGAGACCUAUGUCGACUUCUGUUCUACAGAAUGGUAGCAGAAUAAAUUUUUGUUCCUUUAAACCACUAAAUUUGUGGCAAUUUCUUACAGUAGCUACUGAAAGCUUAUGAAGGAUGAUAUGCCAUUUCCUAAUGUUCUUUAAACAUGCUUCUCAAACUUUAAGAUGCGUAAAGUCACUUGAGGAUCUUGUUAAACUUCAAAUUGUGAUUCAGUAUGUCUGGGUGGAGCCUAAGAUUGUGAGCUUCUAAAACCACUUCCAACAUUUCUUAAAACACAUCUAGUUGAUGCUGACACUGCCAGUCUAAGGACUAUAUUAACAAUGAUUUUAAACCUUAGAUGAUUUUCUCUCUUUUACUAUCUUUGUGUGGAAGAACAAACCAGUGGUUGAAUACUAGGUCUGGGCUUAACUAUUAGGUAAAAAAUCCUGUCACUUGAUAGCUAUAUGAUGUUAAGCAAAUUACUUAAUUUGCUUAAGUCAUUUAAGCAAUUAUUUAAGCUCAGUUUUUUUCACCAAUAAAAUGGUGAUAGUAAUACUUGCUUAAAGAUUAUCAUCAGGUAAAAUCAUUACAGAUUAAUGCAAUUGUUUUCCAGUUCUUGGAAAUACAAGUUAUCUGCCUGGUGUGGCCCAAUGUUUGAGGCCUAUUAUACUCCCAGGGACUUUUGGUUGUCAGCUGUAAACUUUUUGUAUUCAUUCAUUCAUUAAUUCAUCAUCCAUCCAUUUGUUCAUCUUUAAACUCUUUAUUUAUUUAUUGACAUCUAAGUACCAAGUUGUAUUCCAGGCAUUAGGAAUAUGGUGACAAUUAAAACAGAUUCUCCUUUCAAGGGUGAUGCAAAUGAUACACAUUUAAAAUGUGAUAAAUUUGACUAAUAUUUUCUAAAAAAGUUGGAAGGAUCUUUGAGAUAUAUUAUUAAAUGAACAAAAGAAAGUUCCUG
ensembl:lncRNA